rnacentral:rRNA from 1 species
GAUGAACGCUAGCGAUAGGCCUAACACAUGCAAGUCGAGGGGCAUCACAUGAAGUAGCAAUACGGAUGGUGGCGACCGGCGCACGGGUGAGUAACACGUAUGCAACCUGCCUUCAACAAGGGGAUAACCCGUUGAAAGACGGACUAAUACCCUAUAACACAGGGGUCCCGCAUGGGAAUAUUUGUUAAAGGACAACCGGUUGAAGAUGGGCAUGCGUUCCAUUAGCUAGUUGGCGGGGUAAGGGCCCACCAAGGCAACGAUGGAUAGGGGAACUGAGAGGUUUAUCCCCCACACUGGUACUGAGACACGGACCAGACUCCUACGGGAGGCAGCAGUGAGGAAUAUUGGUCAAUGGACGCAAGUCUGAACCAGCCACGUCGCGUGAAGGAAGACGGCCCUACGGGUUGUAAACUUCUUUUGCAAGGGAAUAAAGUGGGCCACGUGUGGCCUUUUGCAAGUACCUUGCGAAUAAGGAUCGGCUAACUCCGUGCCAGCAGCCGCGGUAAGU